rnacentral:rRNA from 1 species
GCUUAUCACCCUUCCAAAAUGAAUAUACCCCAUCUCGUCUGGUCUCGGAAGUCAAGCCAUCUCUGGCUUGGGUAGUACUUGGAUGGGGGACCGCUUGGGAAUACCAAGUGUGAUAAGCA